CUUCCAGCUUGUUUCUCUAUAGCUUUUAUUUGGCAUUCGUUUUAUUACAAGGAAAGGAGGAAAAUGUACAUGUUGGUGUAACCUUCCUCAAGCUCCGAGAAACUGCCCAGUGAGGGCGCUUAGCCACUCUCCUUCCAGUUUAUCGGCUAUAAGAUGAUGGGUUGCCCAGAAGGAGGCAUCUUUUACAAUCAGAGCGACCCCCUGAAAAGAGUGCCAGUGAAACGACCUUCAUUUCUGUGUCUAAGAGCUGAAUAGCUUUUGUUAAUAGUUUGCCAAAGGGCUGGCUGUGCAACACCAAGAAGUGUUUCUUUUAUUGGAUUUUUGUUCAAUUAAAUGGGAUGACCCAGUUGUUGUCCCCACUUUU